CAGUUCGGAUUGAAGGCUGAAAUUCGCCUUCAUGAAGCCGGAAUUGCUAGUAAUGGCAGGUCAGCAUACUGCCGUGAAUACGUUCCCGGGCCUUGUACACACCGCCCGUCACACCAUGAGAGUUGGGAAUACCCGAAGCCUGUGAGCUAACUUUUAGAGGCAGCAGUCGAAGGUAGAAUCAAUGAUUGGGGUGAAGUCGUAACAAGGUAAC
rnacentral:rRNA from 1 species